GUGGGGAAUUUUGGACAAUGGGCGCAAGCCUGAUCCAGCCAUGCCGCGUGCAGGAAGAAGGCGCUACGCGUUGUAAACUGCUUUUAACCGGGAAGAAACCCCAGGACGUGUCCUGGGUUGACGGUACCGUAAGAAUAAGCACCGGCUAACUACGUGCCAGCAGCCGCGGUAAUACGUAGGGUGCGAGCGUUAAUCGGAAUUACUGGGCGUAAAGCGUGCGCAGGCGGUGCUGUAAGACAGGCGUGAAAUCCCCUGGCUCAACCUGGGAAUUGCGCUUGUGACUGCAGUGCUGGAGUGCGGCAGAGGGGGAUGGAAUUCCGCGUGUAGCAGUGAAAUGCGUAGAUAUGCGGAGGAACACCGAUGGCGAAGGCAAUCCCCUGGGCCUGCACUGACGCUCAUGCACGAAAGCGUGGGGAGCAAACAGGAUUAGAAACCCCUGUAGUCC
rnacentral:rRNA from 1 species